rnacentral:lncRNA from 1 species
GGUGAGUGUGCACUUGUCGGUGAUGACGGUGAUGAAGGAGAUGGAUGGUGAUGCUGUCCAACUAUGUGCACGAUGUGGUGGGAUGCACAUGAGCUGGGUGAGAUGGGAUGUCCGGCUAUGUGCAGGAUGUGGUGGGAUGCACAUGAGCUGUGUGAGAUGCACAUGAUGAAUCUUGAAAAUUUGCCAUUUAUUUACAAAUUGAUUUUAUUGCAACGAGAAACAUUCUAUUGAUACUGCAUUGCUUGGAUAAUUGCUAAAAAUUUUCCUUUUUUCCAAUUUUAUGUUGAAUACGGUUCCUUCAUCGUUAAAUGAUUUUACAACCAAGGGUUUAAUGGAGGGAUUUUAAUAAGAACUAGAACUAAAUGGUAUUGUUUUCAAAUAAGUACAUUAUGUGUUCUAAACCAUUCCUUGUCAUUGCUUGUCCCCUUCCUAUGUUCACUCACUGAGUUUGUACUCACAUUUUUAAAAUUCAUGUUUUAGGUUUUCUGAGUUAAAGGUGAUUGGAUCCUAGGACAAGGUGCUUCUCCCUAUCCAUUGCUUGGUAGGUUUACCAUGACAUUAAAUGUUAGCAACCGUGAUCAGAGUCACUCCGCUGACGGUCAAGGCCUAAUUAUGUGUAUAUGAAUACUUGAGGUGAAAUACUAAGAUUCAUUGGUCAAGUUAUAUAUGUAUAUUAUGGUAGAUGAUGCCAUUAUGAAUGCAUAAUUGGGUUUUAUGAAUUUUUUUCAAAGGGACUAUAUUUGAACAUUAUGAAUUUUGGAUUUUAAAGGUAUAUGUAUAAGAUUAUACAAAGAGGCUUGCUUGGGCUUAGUGGGCUGAGCCCAUUGGGCCCUUGCACCGUCAUGGCCCGAAAAUUAGGCUGUGACACCUAAAUUCAUAUUGUCAAAAUGACUUUUUAAUAUUAACUCUAUGGAA